CUCCAUGACAAUAGGGCUCUCCUGUAGGACUAACCCCUAGUCGCCUCAUAUAGAUUGUACUUAAUGUACAAAUAUAUAUAUUUAAGAUGUUAUAUAGGAAUACCUCUGUAUAGGACCUUAGAGGUCACGUGCCUUAAAUUGAUUGUAUUAUGGUUUAAGGACCUUUGGGUCAUGUGAUACCCAGAGUUCACUGGGUCAGGGCUGACAGAUUAUGCUGACCAAUGAGUUUUGUCCCACCCCCUUAAUAUAUAAGGGGCUGUUGCCACUAAAUGCUCUCUCUUAGUUCCGGAUUAUAAAGCCAAGCACAUCUCAUAUCAUCAGCAUCAUCAAUUCAAGCUAGGUCCAAAGCCUAAGAAUCCGAAGCCACUAAACGCUUUGUGAAAAAACUCAGCAUCAUUCCAAGUCUCAUGCAGAGUCACCAUAGCAGCCAGCCUGACGAAGCGCCUAACGGCACGAUACGGACGGUGGCCUGGCGUCUGAGCUCCCCUUGAAGUCAUCCGCCGCCCCCCUGCUAGGACCAAACAGGUCCCGUGUACGGAUGUGGCCGAAGUAACCUGCCUUCCACCUCACACGACAGAGAAGAAUUUUGAGAACCAGACUCAUCUAUGAAAACAUCUGGCAACUCCUAGAAGAAAAAAAAAAAGAAUGUGAGAAAUAACGCCCUGCUGUACAAAAAUGUUGCAGACAAAAACCCUAUUGUAGAACGUCCACCUAAUUUGUCCACCGCCAGUGACCUACUAAAGAUUCAAUUUGAACAUGGGACAACCCCUUAAAAACACCAGGUCGAAGGAGGGCACAGAAACAGGACAUAGCCAGUUCAUAUAAACAAGCCAGCAGCAUUAUGGAGGACUCAGGACAUGGCCAUUUACUACCAACAAACAUGGAUCCUUGCCAUUUAAAGGUAUUCUGUUACAAGCCAUUGCCACUGCAGUAUAGCAUUCCAGACUCCUGCUUGGACUGUCUCUGAUCUGAUGCACUCAAUUUG